rnacentral:rRNA from 1 species
GGGUGAGUAACGCGUGGGCAACCUACCUUAUACAGGGGGACAACAUCGGGAAACCGGUGCUAAUACCGCAUAACACAUUGAAAUGGAAUCAUUAUGAUGUCAAAGGAGGAAUCCGGUAUAAGAUGGGCCCGCGUCCAAUUAGCUAGUUGGUGAGGUAACGGCUCACCAAGGCGACGAUUGGUAGCCGAACUGAGAGGUUGAUCGGCCACAUUGGGACUGAGACACGGCCCAGACUCCUACGGGAGGCAGCAGUGGGGAAUAUUGCACAAUGGGGGAAACCCUGAUGCAGCAACGCCGCGUGAAGGAUGAAGGUCUUCGGAUUGUAAACUUCUUUGAUUGGGGAAGAAGAAGUGACGGUACCCAAAAAACAAGCCACGGCUAACUACGUGCCAGCAGCCGCGGUAAUACGUAGGUGGCAAGCGUUGUCCGGAAUUACUGGGUGUAAAGGGCGUGUAGGCGGGGAUGCAAGUCAGGUGUGAAAGCCCAUGGCUCAACUGUGGGACUGCAUCUGAAACUGAAUCUCUUGAGUACUGGAGAGGGAAGUGGAAUUCCUAGUGUAGCGGUGAAAUGCGUAGAGAUUAGGAGGAACACCAGUGGCGAAGGCGGCUUCCUGGACAGUAACUGACGCUGAGGCGCGAAAGCGUGGGGAGCGAACAGGAUUAGAUACCCUGGUAGUCCACGCCGUAAACGAUGGAUACUAGGUGUAGGAGGUAUCGACCCCUUCUGUGCCGGAGUUAACACAUUAAGUAUCCCACCUGGGGAAUACGACCGCAAGGUUGAAACUCAAAGGAAUUGACGGGGGCCCGCACAAGCAGUGGAGUAUGUGGUCUAAUUCGAAGCAACGCGAAGAACCUUACCAGGGCUUGACAUCCCUUGACAGCUCUAGAGAUAGAGUUUCCCUUCGGGGCAAGGAGACAGGUGGUGCAUGGUUGUCGUCAGCUCGUGUCGUGAGAUGUUGGGUUAAGUCCCGUAACGAGUGCAACCCUUAUUGUUAGUUGCCAGCAAGUAAAGUUGGGCACUCUAACGAGACGGCCGGUGAUAUAUCGGAGGAAGGUGGGGAGGACGUCAAAUCAUCAU